AGACAGCAGUAGCCACGGUAAUACGGAGGGAGCUAGCGUUGUUCGGAAUUACUGGGCGUAAAGCGCGCGUAGGCGGUUACUCAAGUCAGAGGUGAAAGCCCGGGGCUCAACCCCGGAACUGCCUUUGAAACUAGGUGACUAGAAUCUUGGAGAGGUCAGUGGAAUUCCGAGUGUAGAGGUGAAAUUCGUAGAUAUUCGGAAGAACACCAGUGGCGAAGGCGACUGACUGGACAAGUAUUGACGCUGAGGUGCGAAAGCGUGGGGAGCAAACAGGAUUAGAUACCCCGGUAGUCCCUGUCUCUUAUAC
rnacentral:rRNA from 1 species